CUGAGCAGAUAGCUCAGCAGUUAAGAGCACUUGUUGCUCUUCCAGAGGACCUGAACUCUGUCCCCAGCACCCGGGUCGGCAGCUCACUGCCACUUGUAACUCAUGUUCAAGACACUGGACACUUUCUUUUCACCUCUUUGGGUAAAUACAUACAUAACAGACCUACACACACUAAAUAAAAACAGAAUAAAAUCUUUUAACAAAUAAUAAAAGGUCAUAUGAACUGAAAAAUCUAGGAUAGUUCCUAUCUGACCAAAAACAAACAAAUAAACAAAUUGUGAACCCCACUGUGAGAAAAUAAGACUCCUCUUCGUGCAUAUCCAGCUAAGCCCUGCCUCUUUCCUGUCUUCAUCCAAUUAGCAAGUACAGUGUCAGGUCAGAAACUCUUGGGUUAGGCAAGCACAAAUGUUCUGGGGGAGUUUAGGGUUUUCUCCAUUCUCCGUACUUCAGCGGAAGAGAAGAAGGAAGACAGACUGAGACAAAGGAAAAAGAAAGAUACUUAAAGGAGAGCAGGGAGGGGAGGCGGCAAACAGGACGGAUGACCACAAAUUUGCUUCAAGUCUUCGUGUAGACUCUCAGUGUCUGGUCCUGAAGGUGGGGCUGGCUUGCCACCCCAGUGCCUGGAGAAGAGGCCCAGCUGUGUGUCCUGCCCACCCACAGCGAGGCCCUUGCUUCACAAGGACAUGAAGGAUAAAGCCACACUGAGAAAAAGGAAAGAAGAACUGAGACCCAACCUUUCCUAGCCUGCUGAACACCAGCUCUGAACACAUGUUGAUUCAGGGAGGUCACAAACAGCACCACUGUCCUCCAGUUGAAGCUGGGGGCUGCUAGAGGUCAGAUGUUCAUGGGGGUUUUAGCCACAGUCGACUCACAAUGGAUCUACUGGGUCCCUAUUCUUAAUGGUUAUUUCCCAAGAUGCACAACUGCAAUAAAUACUCUCACAGCUGGCCGAGU